AUUGAACGCUGGCGGCAGGCCUAACACAUGCAAGUCGAACGGGUGGCGGACGGGUGAGUAAUGUCUGGGAAACUGCCUGAUGGAGGGGGAUCACUACUGGGAACUGUAGCUAAUACCGCAUACCUUAGCAUGUGCCCAAGUGGGAUGAGCUAGUAGGUGGGGUAAAGGCUUACCAAGGCGACGAGCCCUAGCUGGUCUGAGAGGAUGACCAGCCACACUGGAACUGAGACACGGUCCAGACUCCUACGGGAGGCAGCAGUGGGGAAUAUUGUACAAUGGGCGCAAGCCUGAGGCAGCCAUGCCGCGUGUAUGAAGAAGGCCUUCGGGUUGUAAAGUACUUUAAGCGGGGAGGCGUUACCAGCAGAAGAAGCACCGGCUAACUCCGUGCCAGCAGCCGCGGUAAUUC
rnacentral:rRNA from 1 species